AGCUAUAUCAUAUUGAAACUCCAGUACUUGUACAAUCACUGAAGUUAAGCAACAUUGAGCCUGGUCAGUACUUAGAUGAGUGACCACUUGAGAAUAUCAGGUACUGUA